CGAGAACUUUUAAGGUC
rnacentral:miRNA from 1 species